CCUACGGGAGGCAGCAGUGGGGAAUAUUGGGCAAUGGAGGAAACUCUGACCCAGCGACGCCGCGUGCGGGAUGAAGGCCUUCGGGUUGUAAACCGCUUUCAGUAGGGAAGAAGCGAAAGUGACGGUACCUACAGAAGAAGCACCGGCUAACUAUGUGCCAGCAGCCGCGGUAAUACAUAGGGUGCAAGCGUUGUCCGGAAUUAUUGGGCGUAAAGAGCUCGUAGGUGGUUCGUCACGUCGGAUGUGAAAAUCUGGGGCUCAACCCCAGACCUGCAUUCGAUACGGGCGAUCUAGAGUGUGGUAGGGGAGACUGGAAUUCCUGGUGUAGCGGUGGAAUGCGCAGAUAUCAGGAGGAACACCAAUGGCGAAGGCAGGUCUCUGGGCCAUUACUGACACUGAGGAGCGAAAGCGUGGGGAGCGAACAGGAUUAGAUACCCUGGUAGUCCACGCCGUAAACGGUGGGCACUAGUUGUGGGAACCUUCCACGGUUUCUGCGACGCAGCUACGCAUAGUAGCCCGCCGUCGGGAGGUACGAGCGCGAGAUAAACUACAAUAGAGUAGACGGCGUGAGACGUGCCGACGGACGACGACGAGGGAGGUUAGG
rnacentral:rRNA from 1 species